AACCUGGUCCUCCUCUAUUACCCUUCUUGAAUUUCUCUCUCAUGCAACUGCACGAAUUUCAAUACUUUUCUCAGCUCCUUUUUCUAUGUCUGGUUUCACUUCACACUUUGUUAGUACAUCUUUCUCUCUCUCUUUCUCUCUCACUCUCCUCACUUCACUCUCAACUACCUCAUUUCCAGCAACAUUAUUACCUCAUCUUCUCUUUUUCAUCGCUAUAAAUCAUCAUGAUUCUUUUGUAACAACAACAGCAUCUGCUUUUCUAAGAUUCUCUCCUCACUAA